AUAAAAGAUUACACGUUGUAAUUUCUCCUAAAUUUAUUCGCACAGUUUCAUUCCUUUUUUUUUUUUUUUUUAAUUUCCUUUUAUUCCUUUUUCUUUGGGUGGGUUUUUUAAGUGACGUUAUAACUUCUCUCUCCCACCCACUUCUCAACUUUCUGAAGAUGGUUUUUGAUUCUUAUCCAUCUCCAUUAUUUUAAAAUUUAUUUUUUUGUUCUAUUUAAACGAUCAGCCUUUUCGGUUUAUUCCCCUCUUUUCCUCUGAAUAUAUUGGUUGGAUAGAUAUUUUUUAUUUACUCUCUGUUUUUCUGUUUCCGUGUGGUUUUGCUGGAUUGGUGCUUAUUUUUGUGCGAUUAGAUUAGUGUUCUAUGUGUUAGUUGUGCGAUAGUGAGUGUAGCAUCCUGCGUGCGUGUUUUAAUUUUGUUUUAAUUUUUGGAUGAUGAAUAAGAUGGGAGCUUAAUCCGCUUAGACUGGUUCUUGAGUCCGCCAUUAAUAGUGUUUUUGAUUAGCUUUUUUUGAUUUUUUGAUGGAGUUGUAAUGGGCUUAAUGAGUUUAGUUUUGUUCUUGAUUGAGAAAGCUUUUUUUGCUAUUGAAUAAGAAGAAGUGAGUUUUUUUCUUGAUAGUGAUUGGCUGAUUACUUUCACCAUCAUCUUCUGAAUCUAACAACAUUCUUAAUUUUUUUGUGGCUGUUGUUGGUUUUGAUUGGCAGAAGAAAUGAAUAUUGAAGUGAAGAAAAGUAGCAAGAUUAGAUAGAGAAAUGAAUAUUUUUAGAUAGUGUUGUAACUGGUUGACGGUUGGCUGUCGAUUAUCCCGGUUCUGCUACACGACGAUUUAAGGAUCACAAAUGUCAAUGACGAACACGAGUGAGAAACAAGUAAUAGUUUUCGUGGUGUAUGAAUUAGUCGAACAAAUGCAAGUACUGGGGAAAGUGCCGAGGCUCUCGCCAGUGCGAUCAACGAUAUAUCGAAACAAGAUAAAGAAGCGGGCGACGAUUCAAUGGGUGGAGACCACAUACCGCAACCUGCCAUGCACUCCAACGAGAAUGACUCGGAGAACAUGUCCUCAUUGCACGGUGAAGGUUACAUGUCUAAUAUGCAAGGUGAAGGGACUUCAACCUCACAUCAAAGUAGGGGUAAAAAGAAAGGCAACAAGCGUUCCCGAAACGAUGACCUCGAUGGUCGUAUCGUGGAUAUGAUGGCGGAUAUGACUAGGACUUUUGCGGAGACUAAAACAUGCCUAGGCGAGUUGGCCCACCGUAUUGGUUUUGAGCACAAUGCGUCAACUACACGUAAAAAGGUGUUGGAUGCCCUAUCGCCGUUAUGUUUAGGUGUCGAGGAUAAGAUUACUGUCGCUAAAGCCGUUUGCAAUAGCCCAACCGAUCUCGACAUCUUUUUCAGAUUAAAUGAAACUGAAAAGGGGGUUAUGGUUCGAAUGAUCCUCGAAGGGCGCUACUUCGGUUAGCUAGAAUAUCAUCCACUCACAAGGUGAAGAAACUUUUUCCCGUAUUCGGACCCUAUCUUACGGCGUUAUUUGCAUUGAAGACAUUUCUGUUAGUUUUUCCGUAUGAACUUAUAAAUUUUGGCCGAUUAUAUGUCUGUAAAUAUUCUGUUAGUUUGGAGCUACUAUGCCUAAAUGGUAAGCUAAAAAAAUAUUUUGUUAUUUAGGAGCUACUGGUCAAUUUGAAACAUGUUCAGGGGAUGUGUAAUAUUCCAAGAUUUAUGUCAAUAUGCAUGCGUUAUAUUCACACUGCAACAGGUUAUAGUUGCAGGCCUUCGUGC